rnacentral:rRNA from 1 species
UGGGGAAUUUUGGACAAUGGGCGAAAGCCUGAUCCAGCAAUGCCGCGUGUGUGAAGAAGGCCUUCGGGUUGUAAAGCACUUUUGUCCGGAAAGAAAUCCUCUGGGUUAAUACCUCGGGGGGAUGACGGUACCGGAAGAAUAAGCACCGGCUAACUACGUGCCAGCAGCCGCGGUAAUACGUAGGGUGCAAGCGUUAAUCGGAAUUACUGGGCGUAAAGCGUGCGCAGGCGGUUUUGUAAGACGGAUGUGAAAUCCCCCGGGCUUAACCUGGGAACUGCAUUCGUGACUGCAAGGCUAGAGUAUGGCAGAGGGGGGUAGAAUUCCACGUGUGAGCAGUGAAAUGCGUAGAGAUGUGGAGGAAUACCGAUGGCGAAGGCAGCCCCCUGGGCCAAUACUGACGCUCAUGCACGAAAGCGUGGGGGAGCAAACAGGAUU